ACGCCGCCGCGGACCUGGUACCCCAGAGCAGCGAGCGGGUGGGGAGCAGCCGGGGCGAGAGUGAGCGCAAUCUUGCUAACCCCUGCGGAGGGAACGCGCGGGCGCCAACGCGGGCGCGGCGGGGGCGGGCCCUGGACCUGGACCUUGGGUUUCGGCCCUCCUCCGCGCCCCGCGGUCUCGCGGGCGAAGUUUCAGUCCUGAGUGUAAAGAAUAACCCCGAGCGCGUGGCUAAGUGCGAGCAGGCGCGUGUGAUGUCGGGAGGCGCCGCGGCUCCUCGGCCGCCCCACUCGGUGGUCCCCUGUCUGGACCCAAACUGCUGACUGGCUGACCCGAGUGGUCACAUUUGCCCUCUGGGGCUUUUGAAAAGCUUAAAUCAAAAUUGCUUUUGAAUCUGACAACUCCUGAGGCUACUUUCGCGGCCUCGGGGCUGUUUCAUAUAAGGACGCGAGUUUUCCCGAUCAGGUCGGUCGGCCACGUUACGAUUUCCAAUUUGCGAUCCAUCAGUUACUUCCAUUGGGUCUUCAGCCCGCAGGGACUGUGGAUCCUAGACCCCGCGGAGAAGCCCGUGGACUGGAGCUGUGUCAGCUCUGAUGGUAGGAAAGACUAGAUCAAUGACGCGGGCAUUUCAGGACAUAAUCGUAUAUUUUCAAGUUCGAGUUUUUCGGGCUUCGAUUGUCCAGAUAAUUGCCUCCAGUCUCCUCCAGUCCCCCUGGUGUAUGCACUCGCAGCCGCAGAGUUAGAGUCCGGGACGUGAAGAUUGGCGCUUGGAAAUUAGAUUUGGUUUCUAAAGUAUGAAUUCGUGUCCAACAGUUCGUGCCUUGGACAACGUGGGUUGUAUAAAACUCAAGCUGUGUGUUUAAAACAUGUUUUCUAGCUGCUGGUUCUCUCCAAGUUAUGUAGGACUUUUGAACUGGCCACCCCGCUGUGCGUCUGCGAGGGCAGGGACUGAGCGAGACCCAGCCAGGGGCGCCGGGGUCCGCUCGCCGGCUCCGGCGCGGCGGUGCCGGGAGACUGGCGGCGGCUGGGUUGGGGUCCAGCCGGAAACCACACGUUGGCAGGGCCGCUUGGUCAGUAGUGGAGAGAGCCUCUGAGAAAGGGCCGUCUAUCGAUCCCCAGAGCCCUCCGUCACGGACGGAUUCAUAGCUUCCUGGGGAUCGGCCCAGGGCGUCCCUUUGACACUCCGUUCUCUGUCCACACAAGCCCGGCGCGGGGCGGGGAGAAGAGGAAAGGACGCGACUGGGAAAGACGGGACCCUGGCGGGGUUUGGCCCGGGGGAGAGCGGGAAGGAGCCCGGUCGGCGCGGAGGACCUGCGGCCAGCGUGCUAAGCCCUUAUUAGAACAGAAACCCCUUUCCCCCCACACUCUCAUCUCUUUUGCGCUGUCCCCACCGCCAUGCCUUCAAUAACCUUGUGAAUAGAAACCCGAAUCGUUCCAUCUUGGCUUCUGAAACUUAACCUCAGGCAAAGCACACACUCGGCGGGGCCAGGUGGGGCUGGAUGGGGUCCGCGCCCGACGGCGGGGCCGCGGGGGUCGGUGAACCCCAGCUCCCCUGUCGGCCUCAGGGCGGGUGGCUGGGUCGGCGCGGGGUUCGGGGCCUCCGGUCGGCUGCACGAGGGCGGGCCAGGACCCAGACCCCGUCCCCGCUCCGGCCCCGCAAUCCAGCGGGUGACGAGCCUGACGCGCGCCGGUCGCCUGCCACUUCCCGCCCCGAGCGCCCUGGGCCAGUACCUCCCGGCCGCAGGUGAACGCUCCGCGGCCCGCCAGGCUCAAGCUCGACCGUCACAACUUUCCGUGAGGGCUGCACGUUUUUCCGAAUUCAAAUGCCUGCAGGUGCAACUAAUGUUUGCUACACGGGCAAUUAAUUAGCGGGCGCGUCCAAACGCCUGAGGCAAAACCUGAGAUCAUCACUGAAAAAAAAAAAAAUCUAACAGUUCUUUGCCACUAUACUAGUGUAUUUAAUUAUGAUUGCGAAAAAUUGCAGAGGGAAACGAUUUGCUGGCAAUUAAGUAGCAACUGGUUAAAGUUUUUUUUCAAUUUGUCUUUGAAGACAACUGCUGUACUAUGUAUAAAGAAGAGUAUAGCAGGGAAGUUCGAAAGCACACACGGAAUUUUAAAUCUGUUAAAAAUAUUUUUUAAGCAAAGAAGGUGGUAUUUUAAAAGCAUUUAAAACAGCGCCUGGUAUAUAGUAAGCGCCAUAGAAGUCUGUUAAGAAUGCAUAGGGCAAGAGAGCUCAGGGUUUUGAACACUAUCAAAAUAAUAUGCUUAUUUAUCUGCAAAACACAAUAGCCAUUAGGCAGCACGAGAUUUCCCCAUUAGGUCGUUUAUUCUCCUCAGCUAUUUAUUCCAUUUGCCUGUCCCUUGGUUGAGCGCCUUGUCUGUCUAUAACCGAAAGUGCGUUUCGGGUCAGAGAGACAGAAACAGACACGGGAAACCCUUUAAAGCGCCCCCGCCGACUUAAAUACGGUAGUGGAUUGGAGGUGGGGAGGUGUAGGGGAGGCGUUAUGUGGAGAGAAAGAAAAGAGAAAGAAUGAGGGAACGGCGGGAUUUCAAGCCUCCCCGCCCUUCUGCGACAACCUUUUCAGCGAAAGGGAAGGCUUAGGAAGAAAAGAUGUCCGCGCGUAGAGCAAACCGCAGUUCUUUCCUUUCUUUUUGAAGGAUUUGUACCAUGAGUUAAUUACACCAAAAGAUACGAGGGACUUUAUUAGAAAGGAGAUGCCGUUAGGAAAGAAAGGCCAGGACGGCCGAUCUAAAGGGAAUGGAGAAGGGAAGACUCAGACGCCUUCCCGAAAUUGGUGGUCUAGCCUGUGUUUUGUGCUAAAUGUUAUUUAACUUAAUGGCGUGGGAGUGAGAUGUUGAAUGCAGAGAUCUGGAAAUACCAGAUUUAGUGGUCCUGUUCCUCCUCCCCGACUCUUUUCACACCCAUUUAAUAAAAAGUUACAGUUUUUACACCCGUAUGGAUAAAUUUGGCGAUGUUGGCCAAGUAUUAUCUCGCCCCGCAGAUUUUGAAUUUUGUUGCACAAACCGAUGAAAUGAUUGCUUUGCUAUAAUUGUAAAACUUUUUUGGAACGAACCGGGAUUUUUUUUAUGCCUCUUCAUCUACUUUUUGCUUCAUUAGAGCCCUCUGGUUUUCCAAGACCGACUGUCACACUUUGUUAUUUGUUGCUUCUCUAAAUCCUUUGAGAUGCUGCUCGCAGCUACUUGAAAAACGUUGGCCACUCAGGUAUUUGAUGGGCUUAGAAAGUCACCAAGAUGUGACACCAUUUAAAAGUUUUAGCUUGGUUUCUCAGUGAAAUAAGGGCAUCUCUGUUAAUUAGAAAACUUUGUGUUAGUCUGAGAUGCCUAAGAGCAUAGUCCAAAUUGAAAAUUCCAAUAUUUUGCCACAUCUGAAAUAUAAUUAUUUACACAGCCUUCUCUUUCAAAGGGAGGACAAACAGGUUGCCUUGAGAAGAGCUAUUCUAUUUGCAAUUGCUGGGGCAGGUGACAAACACGUGUGUAUCUGUGGGCAGCCUUGUUGGGCUGCCUUCCCUGACUACAAGGCUUUUGUGAGCUGGUAACGCCUUAAAAUGUGUGAGAAUGCUGCGCCCUAGGAGUGGAGGCCAAGGGCAAGAUCCUUGUACAUUUCAAUACCUUUUCCAACAUCAGGCUGGCAGCAGGCAGGCCAACCUAGGGUCACUGUGUGACACAUAUUUGCAAGCCAGUAAAGCAAAACAAAGCUGAAAGCAAGUGCAAAUUUAGGCCCACCAACCUUGAAGUCAUCCCUGAAAGGGAGCUGCUUUACUAGUUAAUUUUUCUUGCCCAGUCAGCCACACAAAAUGCAUUGUAUUUCUUGGCUUGCCCCAGUAAUUGCGACUUACUUGUUACAGCAGAAGCUUCAAGGUAGGAAAUCUAUGACCCAAAGCUCUCUCUCGAAAGUUAGAAUGUUUAAACUGAUCUUUAAAACUGUUGUUGAGGGGCAAUUUAUUUAAAAGCUUUUAUUUUAUGGUGUUGUUAGUGCUUAGCAUGCCUCAGGAUAAAGACUAGUUUUAUUGCAGGACCCUUGAGAAGAGGGGUGUAUAGCAAGUAACCAGUUUUCCGUACGCCAGUAAGCAACAGUGAGAACACUCAGUGUAUUAGCUUAACUUUUUGUGGGAGUUAAAUUGAUGAUGGCAGGCUUUGCCUUUAAGGAAAUUCUUUUAAAUUUCCAUUUUCUUGAAGUUGGUUUGAUUGGCAGAUUUCCCCCCUCUCUUAAGGAUACAAUGAAACAUAUUCACUUCUCUUAUGAAAAUAUUCUUUUAAUAAACUACAUUCCCAUCCCCUAGAAAAAUGCCCAGCACACAGUAGGGGUACAAUAAAUGGUUUCAGAUUUUCUUGUUAAAUUUAAUGAACUCUCUGCUUCUUUACGUGUAUAUGUAGAAUUUACACUCAUUGGAAUAAUAAAAUAGAAGUAAGCAACCGUGCAUUAAAAAGCUAUGAAAAGAUGAAGAGAAUAUGCCUUCAAAUGGGAAGGAAUACUUAACUGUGAAUAAGACCUAGUUCAACAUGGAACUUCCUGGUGGCCAAGUCAGAAGAGAAGCACAGAACAAAAACGGAGGCACAGAGAGGUCAAUUGAUUGGUCUAAUGACACAGAUCUAGCAAGUGGUGGAACCAGGACUGAAUCCAGUCAUUCUCUCUCCUGCCGCCCUGUGAACAGGUGCCUUCCACCGUGAUUGUAAGUUUCCUCAGGCCUCCCCAGCCAUGCAGAACUGUAAGUCAAUUAAACCUCUUUUCUUUAUAAAUUACCCAGUCUUGGGUAUUUCUUCAUAGCAGCAUGAGAAUGGACUAAUACAAGGAUGAUGGUGAGAUAUGGGGUGAAGAAAAGAUAUAAUAUUCUCUUCUAUAAGUUUGUAUAUAUUAAUUGUUAUUCUAAAGAACUAUAAUAAGUGAUUUUUAGAAAAAUGACCAGAAGGUAACCUAAGUCUAGAGUCUCAUAAAAAAGUAAACUAGUUUUGGUGUUAUCAGUAUUCUGUAUUUCUUUUAUUUACAAAUUAUAAAUUUUUGUAUGGGCUGUUAUAGAGUAACAGGGACUGGAUAUACAUUCCAUCAUAAACAACUAGAAAACCAAGAAUAUAUAUGAAACUAUGGUUUUCAAACAUGGUCAGCAGAUAGCUCAGGACAGUGCCCAAGACAAAGGAAACAAGGAGAACUCUAUGAUUUCUACAAUUAACUGUUUGGGAGGGUAUCUAGGCUGCAAUCCAGGAAAGAAAACUCAAAUAAGGCCUAGAUAAUUUGCUGAAUUAUCCAGAAGACAGAUUUUGUAGUUCAUGAAGGUCAAACUGGCUAGAAAUUGCAGAACAAAAUUAGAGAAUUGAGUAAGAGAGUGAGAAGGAAUUUCAGAGAUUUGCAGAAGGGUUUCCUCAAGCAUUUGAUGGAAUAUUUUUCUGAGCAUGCACAGAAGAAAAUGAUUCCAGGCUGAGGAAGGAAUCACUGCAAAGAACAGGUAGAACAAUCUUUGGAGCUUAGACAGUCUGGGAAUAGUUCAUGUUCCUACCAGCCACAGUGGAAAGAUCUCCUGAUACAUGGGCAUUAGAUAAAUUCCUUAAAAAGAGCCAGAUUAACUCCUGAGUAAAAUGGCUCUAGACCUAUUCUAACAUGUAAUAAAAGCAAAUAUUGAUAGAAUCAAACUAAUUCACUGUAACUAAACUGAUUCACAGUAGCUGUCACAGAAAAAGCUUUACAAUACUAAAAGAAUAUUUAAAAAUCCAGCAACCAACAACACAAUGUUUUCUAGGUCUGUCAUGCAAACAAAAGAUUAUCGGACAUUCAAAGAAACUGGAAAAUGUGACUCAUAAGGAGAAAAUAAAUCAAUCAUUAAAAACACACUCAGAAA